UACGAAGGGUGCAAACGUUGCUCGGAAUCAUUGGGCGUAAAGCGCACGUAGGCGGCUUCGCAAGUCGGAUGUGAAAUCCCUCGGCUCAACCGAGGACGUGCAUCCGAAACUGCGGAGCUUGAGUACUGAAGAGGAUCGCGGAAUUCCCGGUGAGAGGUGAAAUUCGUAGAUAUCGGGAGGAACACCAGUGGCGAAGGCGGCGAUCUGG
rnacentral:rRNA from 1 species